rnacentral:lncRNA from 1 species
UGGAUGCUGGCGGUCCUCUACCUGGUCUGGCUCUAUUGGGAUAGAAACAUACCCAGGGCUGGAGCCCGCAGAUCUGCCUGGGUUUGCAACUGGGCAGUUUGAGACAUUUCUGUGACUACUUCCCCCUCCUAGUUAAAACUGCAAAGUUGGGCACCUCCUGGAACUACCUCUUUGACUUCCACCCUCACAGGGUCCUGGUCGUGGGAGCCUUCGCCAACUUCUGCACAGAGCCCACGGGCUGCUCCUGCCUCUUCCCCAAACUCCCGCCACACCUGCUCAUGCUGCCUUGUUGGUUCCAUCUCCUCUUCUUCCAGGACUACAUCAUGUCAGGUGGUGGGAGGGCCCCUGCAGGCGCUGGAGGCAAAACCCGGACAACUGAGCUUGCCGAUUCGGAAUCAGAAGAGAUUGGUUAAGUCAGCUCUGGAACUCGGUGCCUGUCUUCUCCAGGGAGAAUGAGCUCUUCCAGCAGUUCCCGAACCCGCAGAGCUCGUGGGUGCAGAGGACGCAGGAGGCUCUGCGUCCGCUGCUAAGCGUGGCCCUGCAGCUGUUCCUGGGCCGCCGGGGCCUCCCGCUGCCCUUCCGCGCGCCCAUCCGCACCGUAGUCGGCGAUUCCCGUGCAGCAGAGCCCCCCGCCCAGUCCGGCCCAGGUGGACACGCUGCAAGCGCGCUACGUGGGGCGACUCACGCAGCUCUUCGAGGAGCACCAGGCGCGCUAUGGUGUCCCCGCCGACAGACACCUGGUCC